GGAAUAGAGAGAGAAGAGAAUAAGAGAGGAUGGGGAGGGAACGAGUGUUUGUAGCUGCUAUAACAUGUGUGACAACAGGAACGGACUCGUUUGAUGAUCAUUAAAUGUAACAAUAAAGGGAUAAAAGUAUGAUGUGUAUUAAUUGAUAACACAUGUAUUAGGAGGUAAAACUGCUGUGGCGCGAGAGGAAUAAAAGACUCCGGCGUGAUGUCAGAGGAAAAUGAUGGACCGGAUUCAGGAGCAUGCUGCGCGCGACGGCAGGUGAAUCGGAUUCCCCCCCGGCGCUCUCGGGCUGUUCCUCUUCGCUGGUAACGGUGCGUGUCGUACGGAUGUUCACGCUACACAACUCUCCACCGACAAAAUCAAACAAGCUUGAAAAUAUCAGAGCUUAAGCCAUUGUUCUGCCCAUGGAACACUAAUCCCUGCAUGUUAUGUUGCCUAGCAACCAAAGCUUACGGUCAACAGACUAUACUGUGUGGCAGAAGUAUUGUUAGUGAAUAUUAUUCAUAAUAAAUGAAAUGGUUUUAUUAUAUUGCUUUUGUCACUGUUUUAUGAACGCAGUAACGCACUCGAGGGUGUAAGAGGGGUUUACUCUGCUUCUGCUGAUGCAAAACAACGCCCCAUCACUACAACACCUACACCCUCGAGAGGAUUAGCGCUUUAAUCAGAGCAGUGAAACUUUCCACAUAUUCCAGCUUGUUAGGAAGCUGGAGUCGGAGCGCAGGUGAACCUGGAGCAGGGCGGGAGGGUUAAGGGCCGUGCUCAGGGACCCGACACUGGCAGCUUGGCUGUGCUGGGUGCGAAAGCCCCGGACCUUCUGAUCAGUAACCCAGAGCCUUAACCGUUCAGCCAGCAGAUUUACUGCAGAGUUAAUGUUCACCCCCCGGGGAUCCAGCACCAAAAAUGUCCAGAAGGUUUUUUCAUUUCCUGUUCCAGCCUUAAACCCUACACCUGUACACCCCGAGCCAACGCAAAAAACAGUUCAUGUUUAAGCCGUGUGCUGAUCGAGGAUCAGUUAUUAUACGAAAUAAACUUCAUACUGAGCUCAUAAAAUCAAACCAGAAUGGGAAAUACACGAAGUGGCCAGUGGAAUGUGCGCUCCUGACCAUCACACCCACGUGUGGUUCCUCCCCAAACACACAAUUAUACAGAGCGUCUCUGUAUGCUGUCGCUUUACAAUUUCUCCAACAACUAAGAGGAACCCAAACACUGUUCCAGCAUGACGAUGCUCCUGUGCACAAAGCGAGCUCCAGGAAGACGCGGUGUGAAGGUGGAAGAUCUCGAGCGUCCUGCACAGAGCCCCUGACCUCAACCCCACUGACUCAGCACCUUUGGGAUGAACUGGAACUGGAGUCUCCUCACAUCAUCAGCACCUGACCUCAACCCCACUAACGCUCCUGUAGCUGAACGAAC
ensembl:lncRNA